rnacentral:rRNA from 1 species
GAUGAACGCUGGCGGCGUGCCUAAUACAUGCAAGUCGAGCGAACGGACGAGAAGCUUGCUUCUCUGAUGUUAGCGGCGGACGGGUGAGUAACACGUGGAUAACCUACCUAUAAGACUGGGAUAACUUCGGGAAACCGGAGCUAAUACCGGAUAAUAUUUUGAACCGCAUGGUUCAAAAGUGAAAGACGGUCUUGCUGUCACUUAUAGAUGGAUCCGCGCCGCAUUAGCUAGUUGGUAAGGUAACGGCUUACCAAGGCAGCGAUGCAUAGCCGACCUGAGAGGGUGAUCGGCCACACUGGAACUGAGACACGGUCCAGACUCCUACGGGAGGCAGCAGUAGGGAAUCUUCCGCAAUGGGCGAAAGCCUGACGGAGCAACGCCGCGUGAGCGAUGAAGGUCUUCGGAUCGUAAAACUCUGUUAUUAGGGAAGAACAUAUGUGUAAGUAACUGUGCACAUCUUGACGGUACCUAAUCAGAAAGCCACGGCUAACUACGUG